rnacentral:sRNA from 1 species
CUCAUGUUCUAAUAAUUCUAGUCACUUUACACUCUCAUUCUGAUCCUGGUCCCACUGGAAAUCACACCAAGAAAUGGACUGGGAUCAAAUCAAAUCAAAUCAAACAUGAAAUUCAUGGUCCCACCAGCCAGUCUAAGUGCAGAGCACAGAGUGGAAGAACAUUGAAGAUUAUAUAAAGUCACAAUGACAGAAAUAAAUAAAUGUAGAAGAGAAGUUGAUUUCAUAAAUUAACUACUAACAGAUACUAAUUCAUCACAUUAUUUCUCUUUAUGAUGAGUUAGUAUCUGUUAGUAGUUAACUUAUACAAUCAACCUCUUCUGCAUCUACUCAUCUCUGUUAUUGCACUCCACACUCAUGUAGCCUCUAACAAUUCUUCCACAUAAUCUUUUCUACUUCAUACUUCACACUUAUAUAGUUCUAACAAUUCUUCUGCAUAACUCUCAAUAUUCUUCUGCUCUGUACUCUGCUUUAUGUUUCACUGUGGAAUGGCUUCUGAUAUUCUUCUGUUUCAAUCUUCUCUCUAUAAGAACUCUUUUUAUACAAUCUUUUCUUCUGAUCUCUUUUCUCUUUCUUUUCUUAAUCAAUUCAUAAUCUGUAUUUAGGAUAGUGCUAAAUCGUUAAUUGAAGUACACUCAUUACACAAGC